GGGGGCGUACUGGAUAUCGACCAGUUGGAUACGUUCUCGAUUGCAUGCCGAGGAUGGCUCGUUUCCUCGUAAAACCAUCGGACCAAAAACAUAACUGCCAACGAAGAAUUGGCCCUCGCGGCAUAACUCCGCGACGUCUGCCCCCGGACACCUGCUAAGGGGAACAGGCGCCGAAAGCAGGAUAGGCUGAAGCCGGGGACGGCGCGGUUUUCAGCCGAACUUUUUCAUGCCGACUACGUGACCGGAUUCGCGUCAGGCCGUUAUCCGGGAACCGACAAUCCAGCCCUGAAUAAGCAUGUAGACAUCUUGAAUUGGUUCGGCCGGGACGGGGGUUCGACUCCCCCCGCCUCCACCA
rnacentral:tmRNA from 1 species